rnacentral:rRNA from 1 species
UUACCGGUUCUCGUUAGAUCACCGAAGUCAAGCAUCAUUGGGCGCAUUCAGUACUUGGGUGGGUGACCACCUGGGAACACCACGUGCCGUU